GAUGAACGCUGGCGGCGUGCCUAAUACAUGCAAGUCGAGCGAACGGACGAGAAGCUUGCUUUUCUGAUGUUAGCGGCGGACGGGUGAGUAACACGUGGAUAACCUACCUAUAAGACUGGGAUAACUUCGGGAAACCGGAGCUAAUACCGGAUAAUAUUUUGAACCGCAUGGUUCAAAAGUGAAAGACGGUCUUGCUGUCACUUAUAGAUGGAUCCGCGCUGCAUUAGCUAGUUGGUAAGGUAACGGCUUACCAAGGCAACGAUGCAUAGCCGACCUGAGAGGGUGAUCGGCCACACUGGGACUGAGACACGGUCCAGACUCCUACGGGAGGCAGCAGUAGGGAAUCUUCCGCGAUGGGCGAAAGCCUGACGGAGCAGCGCCGCGUGAGUGAUGAAGGUCUUCGGAUCGUAAAACUCUGUUAUUAGGGAAGAACAUAUGUGUAAGUAACUGUGCACAUCUUGACGGUACCUAAUCAGAAAGCCACGGCUAACUACGUG
rnacentral:rRNA from 1 species